rnacentral:lncRNA from 1 species
AAAAAAUAUCCAAGUUUUUAAUUCGGACUAAUAUUGGUAUGAUAAAUAGUAUUGUAUUUCGUAAUGUUGGGUGUAAAUUAAACCUAAUUUAGCAAAUCACUCAUGGAAAGAAGUAUAUAUUCAGGAAUGAUGUGGGAGUCAACCUACGCAUAUGGAGUUCAGGAGAAUAAUUUUUCCGAGCGGAAGUCCAUGAGCUACGUCGAUACCAUAUUAAGCAAGGAAGAACAUAUAGCUACCCUUGAUAUUAACAUAUUAAAAAUUAAAACAUUUCUCAAACUCCCAUAUUAUUUUCUCUAAAAAUAUGCACUUACUAAAGAACCACGGACCAAUACCUCUUAUAAACUCUACUUACAACAUCCGGGUCUGAAUAAUCUCAAAAAUGCAGGAAGAAUGUACGCUAAAACUUACUUAUUUAGAACAAAAAUGCUUUCUGAAAGUACGUUACAUUGAUGAAGCAAUGAAGAAAGAAAUGGUGAUGUAGAAUAUAUUACUGAAAAGAGAAUUGAUGGAUAUAUCCUACAAAUUGACUUUUGAAAAGCAUAUCGUCAAGACACUCUUUUACUUAAAACUUAAUAAAGAACUAAUUAUUCAAA